AUCAUGGACCAUACCAUCAUGAAUGUGUCUGAUCUCAUCUGAUCUCAGAAGUUAAACAGAGUCAGGCCUGAUUUGUACUUGUAUGGGGAGGGGGGUCCUGGGAAUACUGGGUACUAUAGGCCGUUGUUU
rnacentral:rRNA from 1 species